rnacentral:rRNA from 1 species
GAUGAACGCUGGCGGCGUGCCUAAUACAUGCAAGUCGAGCGAACAGACGCGGAGCUUGCUCCUCUGACGUUAGCGGCGGACGGGUGAGUCACACGUGGAUAACCUACCUAUAAGACUGGGAUCACUUCGGGAAACCGGAGCUAAUACCGGAUAAUAUAUUGAACCGCAUGGUUCAAUAGUGAAAGACGGUUUUGCUGUCACUUAUAGAUGGAUCCGCGCCGCAUUAGCUAGUUGGUAAGGUAACGGCUUACCACGGCAACGAUGCGUAGCCGACCUGAGAGGGGGAUCGGCCACACUGGAACUGAGACACGGUCCAGACGCCUACGGGAGGCAGCAGUAGGGAAUCGGCCGCAAUGGGCGAAAGCCUGACGGAGCAACGCCGCGUGAGUGAUGAAGGUCUUCGGAUCGUAAAACUCUGUUAUUAGGGAAGAACAAAUGUGUAAGUAACUAUGCACGUCUUGACGGUACCUAAUCAGAAAGCCACGGCUAACUACGUG